rnacentral:rRNA from 1 species
UACGUAGGGGGCAAGCGUUGUCCGGAAUCAUUGGGCGUAAAGCGCGUGUAGGCGGCCCGGUAAGUCCGCUGUGAAAGUCGGGGGCUCAACCCUCGAAAGCCGGUGGAUACUGUCGGGCUCGAGUACGGGAGAGGCGAGUGGAAUUCCUGGUGUAGCGGUGAAAUGCGCAGAUAUCAGGAGGAACACCGAUGGCGAAGGCGGUUCUCUGGGCCUUACCUGACACUGAGGAGCGAAAGCGUGGGGAGCGAACAGG